CCUACGGGAGGCUGCAGUGAGGAAUAUUGGUCAAUGGGCUUACGCCUGAACCAGCCAAGUCGCGUGAGGGAAGACUGCCCUAUGGGUUGUAAACUUCUUUUGUCAGGGAGCAACGCCGGCUACGUGUAGCCGGACUGAGAGUACCUGAAGAAAAAGCAUCGGCUAACCCCGUGCCAGCAGCCGCGGAAAUACGGAGGAUGCGAGCGUUAUCCGGAUUUAUGGGUUUUAAAGGGUGCGUAGGCGGAAUGCCAAGUCACCGGUAAAAUCGCGGGGCUCAACCUCGCUACGCCGUUGAAACUGGCGUUCUUGAGUGGGCGAGAGGUAUGCGGAAUGCGUGGUGUAGCGGUGAAAUGCAUAGAUAUCACGCAGAACUCCGAUUGCGAAGGCAGCAUACCGGCGCCCAACUGACGCUGAAGCACGAAAGCGUGGGUAUCGAACAGGAUUAGAUACCCGUGUAGUC
rnacentral:rRNA from 1 species